CCUUUUGAGCCCAGUUCCUCUUCCAUUCGGAUACGGAUACCGGUGUUCCACCCGGAUGGGGUUGUGGGUGUAGAGAGAACGAAGCCGCUGAAACAACACAGCCUGGAAUCAUGUGAUCUGUAAGACUUCAAUGAUCUGGCUUCUGUUUUCUAUACAAACUCUGGGACUUCACUAUCUAGCCCUGGCUGUCCUGGAACUCGCAGAGGUCCUCCUUCCUCUGCCUCCUGAGUGCUGGACUUCAGAGCCCUGUCUUCAGAGCCCCAGUGAGAGCAGCAAGCAGACCGGCUCAUCCUCGUGCUCCUGUGGCUCCAUCUCAGCGCUCCUGUGGCUCCAUCUCAGCGGCAGCAGGCAGUAGAGCCCUCACAGGGGUCCUGAGUUGUCACCUGGUCUUCUCUGCUCUCUGCCUCUGACAGCUUGACCAGCAUGCACAUUCCCUUUUGACAGGUGGACUUCAUGUCUGCCUCUUGACCUGAGCUGUGGAAGCCAAGCUCUUCCCUCAGGCUAUACAACACGGUUCUGCCUGAGGGUCCUGUCCUUCUCCCAGGCCCCUGCAGUGCACAGCACCCUGAACUGGAAGCUUUCUCUCUCCCCACUCUGCUUGUCUUCUUGUUUUCUCUUUGGUCCUAGAACUUACCGCCCUUCAAUAAGCUAUCUAGGCUGAGCAUGGGGGUUCAGGCCUGCCUACCCCACCACGAGGUAGGCAGAUUAUGAGUUCUAGACUAGCCUGGGCUACAGAGUAAGACCCUUUCUACAAAUAAACAAACUCAAU